rnacentral:rRNA from 1 species
UACGAGGGGGGCAAGCGUUAUCCGGAAUUAUUGGGCGUAAAGAGCUCGUUAGGCGGUUUGUCGCGUCUGCCGUGAAAGUCCGGGGCUCAACUCCGGAUCUGCGGUGGGUACGGGCAGACUAGAGUGAUGUAGGGGAGACUGGAAUUCCUGGUGUAGCGGUGAAAUGCGCAGAUAUCAGGAGGAACACCGAUGGCGAAGGCAGGUCUCUGGGCAUUAACUGACGCUGAGGAGCGAAAGCAUGGGGAGCGAACAGG